rnacentral:miRNA from 1 species
ACUGCCCUAGUUGCUCCUUCUGGC